rnacentral:snoRNA from 1 species
CUUCAGUGAUGAGACGAUGACGAGUCGGAACAGAACUCAGUCUGGUUCUGGUGGUUGACUGGUUCGGGUUCACGUUCUGUGGUUCUGGUCCAGUUCCUCAGAGCAGGGAGUUCUUUUGGUUGAAGACAUCGAGGCAUUUGUCUGAGAAGG